rnacentral:rRNA from 1 species
UACGUAGGCAGCGAGCGUUGUUCGGAGUUACUGGGCGUAAAGGGUGUGUAGGCGGUUUUCUAAGUUUGGUGUGAAAUCUCCCGGCUCAACCGGGAGGGUGCGCCGAAAACUGGGAGACUAGAGUGCGGGAUGGGAGAGUAGAAUUCCUGGUGUAGCGGUGAAAUGCGCAGAUAUCAGGAGGAACACCGGUGGCGAAGGCGGGUCUCUGGGCCGUAACUGACGCUGAGGAGCGAAAGCAUGGGGAGCGAACAGG